GGUGUAGAGGUGCCAAAGUUAGGCGAACUCUUGGAUGAGCAAGCACUGUAUGAUGCUGGCCUUAGCCCAGCUCUUCCUUGAGAUAUGUCCAAGUUCUUUAUAUCAUUUUCAUCGAUCACUCGAUCCUCAUUUUUGAUUGAUCAGACACUAAUUUGUUGUUCUUGGUGUUGCAGCAAUGAGGACCACUGCCGAAUCGAUCCAGCUUUCC
rnacentral:lncRNA from 1 species